GUGUGUGUAUUCAGCAGACUGUGUGUGUGUAUUCAGCAGACUGUGUGUAUUCAGCAGUCUGCUGAAUACACACACAGUCUGCUGAAUACACA